ACUCCUACGGGAGGCAGCAGUGGGGGAUAUUGGACAAUGGGCCACAAGCCUGAUCCAGCAAUUCUGUGUGCACGAUGAAGGUCUUCGGAUUGUAAAGUGCUUUCAGUUGGGAAGAAGAAAGUGACGGUACCAACAGAAGAAGCGACGGCUAAAUACGUGCCAGCAGCCGCGGUAAU
rnacentral:rRNA from 1 species